ACAAAAACAAAAACAUUGACAACCUUCACGUCAAUUAAUUUAACUAAGAAUUACAGCUUAAUACACGAUGACACUCAAAAGAAAUGGGAAUUUAUGAAACUUGAGGCAAAUAUGGAGUGCCGAGUGGUGCAAGUUAAAGCUUUGGUGCAAGGUAUUCAUGGAUGUGAUCAUUAGGAUUGUGCGCAAGAGGCCUUCUACACAGGCCGAUCGAGAUACUUGACGACUGUGAACUCCUCCAGACUGACUUGGACUCCCUCAUUAAUGUGUAGCCAAAACAUAAGGAGAAUUUUGACGUUGAAAUUUAACACAGACGAGUUCCACAUUUUAGUUUGAAGUCGACUGUUUAAGAAUGCUCUUCUCGGGAGUUUUAGUCCUCAAGUUUACUUAAUGUCUCCACCUGCCUCUUGGAUGUCCUGCUGCUUCAGAUAUUAAUAAAAGAACUUCGUCGUUGCUCUAAGGCCGUUAGAAAGAAGCAGGCGGACUGUCUGGCUCGAUGCCGUAGCAACCAAGGCCUGAAGGUUAAAGAAAAUCGUGUCUGUUGGUGACCGAUGCUUUUCGACAUAUGUUAAAUAAUGGUCCUUUGCGUCUGGAAAUAUGCAAGAGUAUUUUUUUGUCAGUUAAUAAUUUUUGUGCUUUUAAAAAGUAAAGAAGUUUGACAGAUUUGGAUAUCAUUGACAGUGAAUAUAACUGAGUUGUCUCAGGGUCAUAGCUUGAUUUUUUUUUAUGUAAUAUUGAUUAUGUGAUACAUGAAUAUAUAAGUAUAUACACGUAACGAAUCACACACAUUAUAUAUGUGUGUGUGUGUGUG